rnacentral:rRNA from 1 species
GUUUAAAAUAUAAAGUCUAACCUGCCCACUGAUUAAUUAUUAAAGGGCCGCGGUAUUUUGACUGUGCAAAGGUAGCAUAAUCAUUUGUCUCUUAAUUGGAGGCUGGAAUGAAUGGUUGAAUGAAAUAUUAACUGUCUCAUUUUUAAAAUUAUAAAAAUUUAGCUUUUAAGUCAAAAGGCUUAAAUAAAUUUAGAGGACGAGAAGACCCUAUAGAUCUUUAUAUUUUUAUUAUAUUUUAUAAAAUAGUAAAAUAAUAAAUAAAAUUAAUAAAAUUAUUUUAUUGGGGUGAUAGGAAAAUUUAAUAAACUUUUUUUACAAAUAAACAUUCAUUUAUGAUUAAUUGAUCCAUUUAUAAUGAUUAUAAGAUUAAGUUACCUUAGGGAUAACAGCGUAAUUUUUUUAGAGAGUUCUUAUCGAUAAAAAAGAUUGCGACCUCGAUGUUGAAUUAAAGAUUAUUUCUAGAUGUAGCAGUUUAGAGUUUAGGUC